CAUGCUUUGCACCUUCUAGCCUACUUGCUUCCUCAGUAAUUAAGUCACUUGACCUGCACCUACUUGCUUGCCUACUUGCUCAUUAAUUCAGUCACAUGAUUGUCACCAGCUGCUUGCAGCUUUCUUCUUGGGAGGGAAAGGACAGCAGCUUGCUGUUGGAAGUGCUGAAGCUGCUCUCCAGAUGUCCUUUAUCAGCCUUGCUUUGUGCUGAGUGAAACUCUCACCUGAAGCAACUUCUUAUGUUAUAAAACACCAUCUUCUCUCUUCUGGUCGUCCAUAACCACAAGAAAGCAGAGAAAAUAUUCAGAGAAAAUCAGUGAGAAAGAUUGAGAGAAAAAUCAGAGAAAAAUCAGAGAAAAUUCAGAAAACUCCUUGGAUGAUUUUUCUUCAUCACCUUAGUUCAGUCUGAUGAUGUGUGGAAGAUAAAAAGGUGAGAUAUUCAGAAUAAAACCUAGGUCUUGUUUUGUUUCUGAUCUGAACUGAAGCUUGAUGUCUCUUUGAAAUCAGUCCAGCUGUGAGCUAAGCUUGAAGAAGAUAAUCAUAUGAGUUUAUCUGGCCACCAGUUGUUGUUGUAAGCUUCAGUCUCUUGUCUCAGUCAUCUCUUGAUCAGCAUCAGAUGUUGUUUAGUUAAGCUGUUGUCAUUGAUCAAUUAUCUAAGCAUUUCUUCGGUUUAGAUUUAAUUAUUUCGGAUUAAUAAAUAAAUCAAUUUGCUGGAAUAGAAUUACCUCAUCUAUUAUGAACUGAUUGGAUUUAAUCUGAACUGAACUGGUCAUGGUCUGGACUACACCUGAGCUAAACUGAUUAACCUUGUUGUAAACCGAGCUGUUAGGAACUGAUUUAAAUAUCUUCUUCAGAACCAAACUGUUGGAUUGAAGAUCAUGUUAUGAACUGCUCUGUUUCAGGUCAGUGGUCGAGUAAAGUUGAAGGAUAAGACUGGUUCAUCAUGUAAAACCGUUUUCUGUCUAAUUGGUUGUGGAGUUUUGCUAGAUCGGUCCAGUCACUCAUUGUAGCCGCUCAGACACUUGGUUUGAAUUCAGAUAUCAAGGAGAGUGGUCGGAUCAGUCAGAUAAUUGUGACUGUUUUGAAUCUCAAGUGUACUGAAAGUGGAGUGUGAUUAGCUUGAGCUCGAGUCUAGUCUUGAUUAGCCAAUCUCAAAGAAUCAAAGGUGAGUCUAGAUAGAUGAUUGAUGAGUAGUGAAUGAAUAUUUCUUGAUUGAAUGCACUGAUUGUAGAUGAUUGAUAGGCUAUGUCUCUUGAUCAAUAUUGAAUUGGUGAGGUGUUUACUUAGUGUAAACGCUUGUUAAAUAUUGAUGAAUGUUCAUAGAGGUUUACUCCCGAGCCAUAGUACGUACUUGUUCUCAAGUACUAAUAUAUAAUAUAAUUAAGUAUGGAAGUAUUAAUCAUGUGAAGUCUUAUUAUAAACCUGUCUUCCAAAAUAUUCCCGUAUGAAUGAUGAUUACCGUGAAUUGGUCCUGCGAUAUGGAACAAGGUCACGAAGACACGAUGAUGGGGUCGCACCCUGGAGGCCGUGUAACUGCAUGCAGCGUUAGAUGUUCGAUCUUUGAAUAUCUGAUGGCGAUGAUGGUGAUGCUAACUCGCUAGACUCGUUUAGCCUUUGUGGUUUCUCGGGUCUGGUAUAUAUAUAUAUAUAAAUAUGAUUAUAUGAAUGAUAUGAGAGUCGGGAAUAGGAAGUGAGGUAUAUGAUUAGAUUCCCAAUGAUGGAAGGAUAGGCCUUAUAAUUAUAUUAAUUAUGGAAUAUAAUUCCACUGCAUUCAAAUGGUGCCGCUUGCUCGGGAUACUAUUGAUAUGUGUUUGGGUGUGGGAUUAGACUCACUGAGUAAACUAGUUAUUCAUGACUCAUUUGAUAUGCAGGUAACCAGUAGGUGAGAGACCUUUACUCUAUGACGGAAAGGAACGGCAUUAGCCAGCGGUAGUUUUAUUAUCCUUGCAGUCGUUUUGAUAUACUUUAUGUAUAAGGUUUUUUGACCGAAAACCUCGAGGUUAAUCUAUAAGAUUUUGUAAGAUUCUUUUAAAUGAAUAAGUAUAUAGUGUAUAAAGAAUGUUUUUAAAGUACGGGUUCCAAAUGAUAUUAGUCCUUGUCCGGACGAACCAACUAUUGGGUAUUACUCUUAAGGUUGUAAAGCCUCGGGUUGUACCUAAUAGGAUAUGUGUACUUAGGCGGUUGGCCUAAGGUACCUGGAUUUAUUUCGGGAACUUCGCGUUAGUCGUUUAUGUACACAUUGUGGCUUCUCGGUUUGGUUUCAGUUACGAGUGAUCGGCUGUGCAUGUUCUUGUUUAAUUGUUGCACGGCUGGUCGAGUCAACUUAUACUUAGAUCAGAUCUGGGCAGUCACAGAUGGUACAUUGUUUUUAGACAUUUAAUGUUCAUGAAAAGAGUAUUUUGACUAAUUAACAUAUUUGACUGGUAAACUGGCAGUCACUUUAAUAUAUAUAGAAACUCUUUACUCAUUAUUGUAAAGUUAUAGUCAAUAUAUUACUAUGGAAAAUUGUUAAUUCAAUUGGUGAAAAUUGUAAGAGCAUAUUUACAAUUUUAAUACAAUGAGAAUUUGUCAAACUCAAAAUAUAUAUUGUUAUUUCUAUAUAAAUUAAAUAUCAACUGAUUUAUGAUUUAAAAUUAGUAAAUAAAUCUGUGAGAGAAUUAUUUCGUAGGAUUUUAAUGAAUUAUAGAUUAUCAUUUAUAAAUUUCAUCGCAUUUUUUUAUUUUCGUUUAUAUUUUUGAACUUUUGAGUAGUGCCAAUCAAAUCAACACACAUAACAGAAUUUUAAAAAUCAUGAAUAUGUAAUUUCAGAUUAAACAUAAAAUCACAUACAGUGACACGAUAAAAUUUAAAUACUCAGUAAGAAGCAAGAAAAUUGUGGGAUAAAUAAAGAAAAAAAUCUGAGAGAAUCAAAAGAGGUUCAUGCAUUCUUAAAUUAAGGAACAAGGUUUUAUGACAUAGUUGUACUGGUUUGUUGAAGACUGAGAAGUGAAUAGGAAGAUAUGAAUAUAGUACAUCUUUGAUGAGUAAGAACAGUAUGAAGACGAUGAAUCGACGGGUUAGUGAUAGGGUCAUUGAUAUUAUGGUCCAGGAGAUGAGCUAGUGAGAGAUACCAACCAAAACAAAUAGAAAACGUCUAUGACGGAAAAAAUAUUUAUGCGUUUAUAUAUUUUUGGUGUUUCAAAGAUGAGAAGAGUUUGCGAAUUGUUAUAAUGUGGAGGUUUUUAAAUAUCUACUGGCUGAAAUUUUUUCGUUGAUAUUAAAAAUCUCAUAAACCAGAAAACUAAUCUUUUUUUUAUCUUAGGGAUUUAUUUUAGUUGGUUUCGUAUAUAUGGAAUCUUUAAUUUCAUCUUUCUUAUCUUUUUUAUUUAUUUGGUAACUAGCCACCAACCUUUCCUAGAAAGCUUUGAACAACACAACCUUUUAAAUCUGAUUUUUAGGUUAAUUAUAGCGUAUAAUUAUUUCUAUAUCCCAAAAGGAAUAUAUCUAGAUGCAAAAGAGCUUAAAAGAAUAUUUUCACAUGUAAAAUGCCACAUAUAUAUAAGAUGCAUGUAUGCAUACAUGAUUAAUGUACGAGCAUAAGUCAAACUUUUAAACCAUACAACCAAAAGACACUUCUUUUGCUGAUCAGUCACUGUUAGAUUGGUCGUUGUUCAAUACAGAAAAACAAAUAAAUCAUUUUACGAACAUUCUAUCAUUACAGAAUAAUAGUCUAAAUCUCAUUUCCUUUGAAUAUUAUAUCAUUAUAGAAUAUUCUAUCAUUACGAAUCUAUCCUAUACUAAAAGGGUUAUAUGAGGAGUAGGGAGGCUAUCCACGUCCUCAAUUAAAAUCAGCCAAUAGGGUGUCUUGAAAUUCGCCACGUCAGCAAAAUACUCUCUCAAAUCUAUUUCUAAACUCUGCGUUUAAAUUAAACUCGGUUUCUGCUAGGUCAUCUUUUUUUUCAUCAAGCUUUUCGUCUUUCUUCGUUGAAGUCUCACGGACUCCUCCAUCCCGAGUGCUGCUUCUCACGCCGCCUAGGACCUGUCUCGAUGCCGCUGCGUCUCUGCCUCCCCUCUGGGCCUCCAACGACUCCGUGCUGCAUCUCCUCCUUUGUGAGGGGCUCUGUAUCUCCUCCUUUGACUCAUUAUACUAUGCAACUCCAGAUUUAUUUUCCUUCUCUAUCUGGAGUCUGGCAAUGGUGGUUGAGCCUCUUGGAUCUGCUCUGCUCUGAGUGACGUGUCUGUGACGUUGAGUCUGUUUGACUGGCAAGCUAUAUCUUUUCACAACAAGCUAGAAAAUCUUCGGUGAUCCUAAGGUUGUUAACAAGUAUCAACUCCAAGAUUGUAGGAGGGCAUCUGUUCUUGAACGCCACAUCAGGGACCCAUAUAAUUUUCGACAAAGAGAUUAAUUUGAUCUCAGUUUGUUAGUUUACUUAUCCAUCACAUAAUUAGUGAAUUCAUGCACAACACUGUAGGCUGUUUUCCAUUGACAUUGGGAUUACUCCAUCAUCUUCAUUACUGAGGGGCUACACUAAGCUUGAGCCUCUAACCAUAGCUUGAAUGAGUUCAUCAUCACUGCCCAGCCACAGGAUAUCGCCUUCAUAUGCACCGGUAGGGGCACUGGGAUCAAGAUGGACAAAGGCUGGUGUUAUGUCUCUUUCUCCAUGUGUACAAAGAAGCUUUAGCGGACUGUAUCAUCCUUCACUUGUGUCUUGUGUGGCCUGAAACAAUACUAAUGUUGUUGGUGUGCUAAGAUGAGUAUUGCUGAUGAGACUGCUGAGGGCCUGUUUGUUGGCUUCGAUGGGGCUGGAGAGGGAGUUAACUCAGAAGAAGAAGAGGCUCGGUGGAGAGCCAAGCGUGAAGCUGCAGAGAGAGAAGUUGCUAGAGUGAGAAUGAGACAAGAAAACAGAAGAGUAUAGCUUAAUCACAAACUUUCCAAGAACGGUGUAUGGAAGAGACAAAGAGUCGAUGUCACUGAAAGAUGCAGGUUUGCAUCCUCAGGCAAGUCUCUUCAUUGAGAUAAACUAAGUAUGGGAUCAGUCUGUUUCUUUCUCCUUAAGCCACUCUUUUUCCAGUUUUUUUCAUCUCUUUUAAAAUAAUUAGUAGUGUUGCUUCAGUGAUCCGAUGAACAAGAUAACAUAUAUACACAUAUAUUCAGAUGUUGUGUCACAUAUUUGAUAUAUUUAGUUCUUAAAA